rnacentral:rRNA from 1 species
GACAGAGGAUGCAAGCGUUAUCUGGAAUGAUUGGGCGUAAAGCGUCUGUAGGUGGCUUUUUAAGUCCGCCGUCAAAUCCCAGGGCUCAACCCUGGACAGGCGGUGGAAACUACCAAGCUGGAGUACGGUAGGGGCAGAGGGAAUUUCCAGUGGAGCGGUGAAAUGCGUAGAGAUUGGAAAGAACACCAAUGGCGAAAGCACUUUACUGGGCUAUUACUGACACUGAGAGACGAAAGCUAGGGUAGCAAAUGGG